CCUAAAUACAGAAUUGUUAGUUUCACUUCUUGAAUGUAACAAAGAGUUCACAUAUGACACAUUGCAAUAAAUAUCACUAGUCACUUCAGUCCAUGUGUAAGACACUGGAAACAUUCUGAGACUGACAGAAGAAAACAUUUCUUUUAGAUUCUCCCACUGAGGAUAGGCUAAAAACCAGUUUCUAACUAUAUUCUGUUUGGGUCUAGAUUGAAGUCCAUUCAUCUUUUAAAUUAGAGUAAUGAUUAAGAACAAGAUUUGUGACUGAGAAAAUGAUUUUUUAGAAAAGUGAAGAGGAUUGAGAAAAGAUUCUUCAUGUAUGCAUUUGCCCUGUAUCACUAAAAACAAAAUACGUGGUUAAGAGCAUGGGCAGUGGAGGCAGACAGUCCUAGGUUCAAGUUGGCCCUGGCAUUUACUAACUGUGCAGUUUGGAAAAGUUGAUUAACUGCUCCAGACCCCACUUUCCUCUUCAGUAAUAAUAAUAAUGCCUCUGUCACAAGAUUGUUUGUGAGACUUAAUUGAAAUAAUAUCUGUAAAGUGCCUGGCAUAUACUAAGUAGUUAAUGUGUGUUGACUAUAAUAAAUAAUUUUAAUAUUACAUAUAUAGUCAGUAUAAGAUUGUCAGGAUGCUUCAUCUAAAUAAAGUAAAUUUGCAUUUGUUAUUUAUGCAUUUUCAGUAUUAUAUAUCCCCAAUGCACUUGGAAAUGAUUUUAUAUUAUAGAUAUUAUUAAAGACUAUACAAAAAUAAUGAAGUAAAUACUUUAGAAUCUUCAGCCAUGAAACAACGCAUGCUCAUUAUCUGAAGGAUGCACAAUAUUGAAAUUUAAUCAAAAUAUUCACUUAAGCAAAAUUAAGAAAGCACAGAAAAUAAAAACCACAUUUAGGCUACAUAUUUACAGUGGAAACAUAAUAGAAAGUAAUGCAAUUAACUGGGGUAUGUAGGAUGGAUUCUCAGUGGACUGUCAAACCCAGGUUCUUGGACUACAGGCUGGAGGCCAGCCCCUGGACAGCAAGGUAAGUGUACUGAGAUAGAGAAUUUUAUCAGUUGAGGGUUCCUAGGAGCCAGUCUUGUCCCCUGACAACUGUCAACACCAUGAUGCGAUGAGAUUGAGCAUCUUAAAAGUGGUCAGAAUGAAAAUGGGCGUUUUUAAACGGAGCAGCUAACAUGUACAAAAGCUUAGAGGUAGGAAAUUACAAGCACGUGUGGGAAAAGACAAGCAGCUCAGUUUGGCUGAAGUGAUGAAUGAAUAAGGAGGAGUAGUAAGAAAUGAACUAAAGGCGGGGCAUGUUGGUUCAUGCCUGCAAUCCCA
rnacentral:lncRNA from 1 species